CCUACGGGGGGCUGCAGUGGGGAAUAUUGCACAAUGGGCGCAAGCCUGAUGCAGCCAUGCCGCGUGUGUGGAGAAGGCCUUCGGGUUGUAAAGCACUUUCAGCGGGGAGGAAGGCGGUGAGGUUAAUAACCUCAUCGAUUGACGUUACCCGCAGAAGAAGCACCGGCUAACUCCGUGCCAGCAGCCGCGGUAAUACGGAGGGUGCAAGCGUUAAUCGGAAUUACCGGGCGUAAAGCGCACGCAGGCGGUCUGUCAAGUCGGAUGUGAAAUCCCCGGGCUCAACCUGGGAACUGCAUUCGAAACUGGCAGGCUAGAGUCUUGUAGAGGGGGGUAGAAUUCCAGGUGUAGCGGUGAAAUGCGUAGAGAUCUGGAGGAAUACCGGUGGCGAAGGCGGCCCCCUGGACAAAGACUGACGCUCAGGUGCGAAAGCGUGGGGAGCAAACAGGAUUAGAUACCCGGGUAGUC
rnacentral:rRNA from 1 species